CUGCAGCAGCAGGGCGGGCAGGCGCGGCGGCGGCGGCGGCGGCGGCAGGACGAGCAGCGGCGGCGGUUAUUGUUGUUGGUGGCGGUGGUAGUGUUGGCGAAGUGGGGGAGGGAGGGGGUUUCUCCCAGAGAAUCGAGGCGGGUUUCCCUCCCCCUAUCUGCAAAGCUCCUGGAAACAAGGGAGCCGGCGUCUUGCUGCAGGAUGGGCCGUCCGCCUGCCCCCUCCCACCCCACUCCCUGCCGGCUCGGCCCCCGGCGGAGGCGCUCCCACCUACUGCAUUACCGGGUGGUGCUGAACUGGACAGCUCCCUGCGCCGCCCGCUUCGCGCGCUCCCCGGCUCCCCCGGCGGCCCGCCAGGAGGGGGGCGCGGGCCAGAGUCCUCCCUUCCCUCGGGGGCAGCAAGGCCAGGGCAGAGCGGGGGCUGCCUUUCCUCUUUUUACCCCUCUCCCAGAUCCUGAAAUGAGCGCUCUCCUGGGCUCCCGGAGCUUAGAGGAAGGCGUAGCUAGAGAUAGCUCCGCUCCCUCUCCCUUUCCCUCUCCCUCUCUCUCUCUCUCUCACUCUCUCCCCUUCCCUUCCCCCCCGCUGUUUCUUCCAGCUCAGCCUCCUUCUCAUUCCAUCUCUACGUGCCCAGAGCUUCAAAUACAACCCUCCCAUCACAAUCAGACGGGCACAAAACUUGGACCAGCCGUUUCUUUGCCUGGAAGCCCUGAAAAUAUAACCUGGAUGGGUAAUUACAAACACGGUCUCUAUGUGUUUUUUAAAUCAUCUUUUGCACUUUGCUGUUUGGGGGAUCUGUUUUAUUUUGUUGGCACGUUAGCUGUUCUCCUUUUGGUCGUUUCUGUCUCGUCUCUGUCUCUUUCUAGCUGACAGGGUGUGUAUGUGUGUCUCUGUAGUUUUCCGUGAAAUCCCAAAUCUUGCUCCUACAAGCAGACAUUUUGGAAAGAUUAUUCAUGGAAAAGGGUGCAAAAGGGUGACUGGCGGCUGGGGCUUGGGCGAUGAGUUUCAUCUCAAGGAUAAACAUGUUUGAGGGGAAGUGAGUGAAAUGUGAGUCCUUCUAAGUUUCCCAUGUCAUUUGUGAACUGGAUGGGAAGAGAUAAAAAUCUCCCUGCUGUGAAUAAGGAAACACAUCAUAACUCUCCGCUUUUCCUCAGCAGAAUGGUUGUCUUGUGUUAAUUACAGUGUCACCUCUUGUUUCUAUAUGUGCAACUUUUCCUUAAUGCGACCCCUGGAGAAAGAACCCCAUCAGAUUCCUGCUGCUACUGAUUAUAUUUCUCUCUGAUCAGUUUCCUAGUUAGGUGAGGGAGAGCACAUGAGGCAUGAGGUAGGUGCACUGUUUUUAAUUUUGGGUGGGGGGAGGAGCCUAGAGAGACGUGUAAAUCUGAUGGGUCAGUUGGGGGUUAGCGAUGUUUCAAUUUCAUAGCUCAGCUAUUCUAUACUUUCUUCUUCCAUUUUUGUCUGGAGAUAAUUUGCUUGACAAUUUCUUAGUGAUCUGGUGAUUAUCAAAGAGUAUAUAAAAGGUGACUGAAUUCAAAACAGACUUUCUUUGGUAUUGCCUAACGUCUUUCCCUUAGCUCAGAGUUGGUCUGAAGGUAUGGUCAAUACAUUUUUUUUUUUUUUUUUUGGUGUAGAAAAACUACCUGUUUCUCCCCUCCUUGAAACUUCCUUCUCUCGCUCCCUUUUCCCUUCUCAGAAAGGAAGGACUCUUGAGAGGGGUAAUCGCUGUGCUCCUGGCACCUUGGAGAGGGUCCUGGUGUCCGGAGAAUGCGACCAAGAUUACAGCAACCUCUGCUAAGCCCUGAGUUCUGAGAGGCUGGGUCCUUGUCUCUCGUGUUCCUCGUCGUGUCCUUCGCAUCUUGGCACAGAACAGGCCCUCGAUACACAUUCAUGGAUAAAUGGGCUGGAGUGAGCGGAACGAGAGGGAAGAGGAGAAAAAGUCACAAUAUUUGUUUUAAUGACGGGACUCCUGCCGGCCACCCACUCCCCGUGACAUUUGCAGGACUAGAAGAGGUAUCGAAUAGUAGUAUUCAGACCAAGAGUAGUUAACGUGAAAAUGUGUACGGAGUGGACAAGUAUAACUAAAUAGAGAAAGCUUCAGAGAUAUUGAGACACCGGAAGGUUGUCAUAUUUGAGACCCUUGAAGCAAAGAGGAGGCUGCGAAGUUCAAGAUCAAGAUGCCAGCAGAUUUGGUUCCUGAAGAUGGUGUCUUCCUGAAUGAGGUUCGGGAAUGCUGCUACCAUUCAAUGAGGUAAUGGUGAAAUCGGAAACUCAAGGCUGGUAGCAAAGGAAAAAAAAUAAAAAAGAUGAGCUUUGAUUCAUGGUCAGGAGGAUCCGUGAAUGGGGAAGGCUCAUCCUGCAGUAAUCAGAGGAAAUGCGAGCGGCACAUCCUUCCAGCAGAGUCCCUUCCAGAGAGAUGAAGGUCAUGCUAAUGGAGACCUCAGCCAGCCUGUUAGCAUCCGGAGCUGGACCAGGGAGGACACCUCAGGCCGCUUCCAUAACUUUCCAAUCUCUUUUUUAUUAAAAAGAACAAUUUCCUUUUGGUGAGGAGACCAAGGUCAGACAUGAAAUGGCUUGCCCAAACUGGCAUGGGCAGCGUGUGGCAGAAGCAAUAUUUGCAUCCAGGUCCGCCUGUCUUCAACGCCCAGAAGUGCAACCAUCCAAGGGAGGUGAUGUUCCAGGGCCUGGAGCAGUGAAGUGACUUGCCCAGGGUCACUCUGUGACAAAGUGCCUGAGUGGACACCUGAACCCAGAGCUGUUUGACUCCAGAGCCCAGAACGCCGUGUGCAGGCGCACGGCUGCACGCUCUGCUUCUUGGAGUUGUCACCACCUCUGCUUGUUAGAAGAGGGAGCUGUUAGAACAGCUGAAGGAAGCCUGAUGGGAGAGACCCAAGCUUCCCCAAGAUGUAUCUUGAGAUUCACAGUGAAUUGCCGAUAUGUUGUUCGGGAAGCUGUUUCUUGAUCUUUGCUUGAAAACAUCCUCCGCUAUCAGCAAGAAUCCACCGUGACCUGGAUCCUGCGUGCUCUUAAUUUAAAUACCGUCUUACAAAGGAUACAGCACCCGAGGAAGUUCUGGACCAUGAACUCACUGCAGUCCUUAUGUUAGGAUGCUCAGUGCUUACAGUUGGAAUGGCUUUGUCACUGAAGCUUGGCUAAUGGUGACCCUUGGACGAGUCCUUCUUUGAGCGCUUGUAGGCGACAUGGGAAGAGCAUAGUGCAAACGGGAGGGGGAGAGUCAAAGGCAAGCAAAGCAUCAUGACCUCCACCUACCGAGCAAAACUCCAACGUACACCCAGGCUGCCAGAACCAGAACCAGCCUGGUCUCCGUAUUUGCAUGUAGAGCCAGGCCUCAAAUGUAUCUUAAUUUUAGUUCCUCUUCUCAAAUCUGAAAUAGAUUGUAGGUUUUAAGCUACAGCAAAAAUGAAGGAGAAACAAGGUAAGUGCCUACUACUUCCUUGCCCUCCUCCCCAUGCCCUUAGCAAGGGCGAGAACAGAAAGUACCCCCUGCCCAGCACAGCCUUUGGGGAUGGAGACCCUUGGCCCAAGCUGAAUUCUAUAACCUUCAGAACAGGGUCCCUGGAUUGUGUGCACGAUGGAUGGAGCUCUUUCUUGGGAUUUUCGGAAAACAGACAAGCUCCAAGCACAGCUGGGCUGCAGCUUCGCUUUUUUUUCUUUCCACCUUCAGCCGUGGCAGCCUGUUCCUGAUUUCUCUGGAAAGGCAGCUCCUAAUUAGAAUGGAUCGAAGAGUCUUUGCUCGAGCUUUGUUCUCCGUCUCGAUUGAAUCGUUGUUUUAGGACUUAAUCUGGUGCAGUCACCAGUGGGCUGGGACACUUGCCUCUCCGAGCUGCUCUCAGGCGCGCGGGAGGGCUGGUCCCUGGGGGCCACCGAGAGCUCCGAGGAGCUCUCUGCAUCCUCUCCCUCCAGGCCUCUCUUCCUUUCCCCUUUUCCUCCCCACCUGCUUUCUCUCCUCUUAAUUUCCUUUCAUUAACAACCCAAAGCCGUCCAGGGUGCCAGUCCCUGCUGGUGGGAGUGUAAAUUGGUACAAUUUCUCUGGAGGGCAAUUUGUCAAAUGCUAUUAAAAGCCUUAAAAAAAAAUGCAUAGGCUUUGACCUGGAAAGUCCCCUUCUAGGAAUUUGUCCUGUAGAAAUAAUUGGACAGGGGUCCGCGAAUAUGUGCAGAAGGAUGUUGCCCUCCGUGCUUUUCAUGAGUGGCAACUUGCAAAGCUGGUAUCCAUCCACAGGGGGCCAUUAAAAAGGAUCAUGUGAUAAACCAACUGUAAAAGAACCUUUUGAAGCUAACCGGAGAAAUUUGAAUCCUGACUGGGCAUUCGGUGCGCUUAAGGAAUUACUGUUAAUUUCGUCAGGUGUAAUAAUAACCUUGAGAUAGGUUUAGAGGCACACUGCAAGAGGGUUAGUAUUAGGUUUAAACGGUUAUAACGAUAAUAAUAAUGGAAGGGGGAAGAAGAUGAAGCAAGGGAGGCAAAAGCUUACAAGUUCUGAAUCUGGCUGAUGGGCAAAGGAGCAUCUGUUACACUGUUCUCUUUAUUUUUGUGUAUGUUUAAAAUUUUCAUGAUUUAAAAAGAAAUAAAAUGAUCACAUAAAACUGUA